AAGGCUGUUUGAACUUUUGAAACCAUGUGUGGGAUUGGUGGUGGUGCCGAGGCAUGAGAGGGCUGGUAUGUGCGAGAUAAAGGAGCGAGCGCAUGCAGAGACCUGGUGGUGCAUUAAUGGGAUUUUAUUUGACUUGGCGAGAUGUCUCUCAAUCCUGUGGCUUUGGUGAGAGAGUGUGCGGAGAGCAAUGAUAGCAGAUAACGUACGAGUGUUUAUUGCAUUCAAAGGACAUCCACAUGUGGAAGACUUUAAGUGGGUUCUCUACCUAGUUAAUCAAUUAGUUGAAUGUGUUACGUGAAAUGGAAUAUUUGUAUUUCUUUUCCCUUAUGUCAACUGCUGUGAAUGCUGUAUGGUGUGUGUUCUUUUUCUGUUAAUGAUCUGUAAGUGUGGUAAUGUGACCUGAAGAUGAUGGGGGUUUGUGAUGAGAACAUUGAGCUUGUGGUGUGCUUUGCAGUAGUUCUUUUAGCAGAGAUCACUAGAGCUCAGUGUGCCUCUCCAGGGUGGAAGUUCCACUGUCUGUAAGAUAUCCAAAAGAAUGCUGUUUGCUGCAGUUUCGUGUCUGGAUGCUUUUUAUAAGAUUUGUCACUGUAGGAAAUUCUUAAAUAAAACUGAUUUAAGUAAUAUGUGUCUUUGUUUUGCAGCCCUGAAUGCAAAGAAUUCAUAGCAGUUAAUUAAUUUUACCCUUUUGCGAUGAACUUCUGUAAAGCCUUUUGCAGUCACUCGGUUUGUUUCAGAUAAGCAGGUUCUAAAGGAGCCACCGCUCAGCACGUAUCGAUACCUGACACUCUCCUCUAAGCCACUGUAGCCUUGCACUGUGCAGUGACAUAGAUCUAAAAUCCAGGUCCCACACCUUGGGGUGCCCGCACCUAGACUGCACUUGCACUAUUACCAGCUACUUCUGCUGAGUAACACUUUAAAAUGGUAUUCUUGGACCUCCAAAGACUAACUGUGACCCCCUGCAAGGAACCUCAUGGUAAGUUUUUUGUAAUUAGCAUGGUUUUAAUUCUGUUUAAAUUGCUCAGGUCUAGGUUUAAGAGUCUGGUUGGCAGCACUGAGUAGUCUUUGCUAAUAAUUUUAGCCUUCCUUCACCUUCAAACAAAAUCUCCUUUUCAAGUUACAGUAUCAUUUCAAGAAUUUCAAGUUACAGUAGCAUUUUAACUGCUUUGCAUACUUUAAUGUUUAUAAGUGAGUAAAUAAACUGUCACUGAAAAUA